AUGCGGUCCCUCGCGCGCCCGCCGAGGCCGCCCAAGCCCCUGCCCCCGCUCGCCGCCUUCGUCCAGUCCAUGGGGUACGUGGAGGUGAAGAUGCGGUGGAAGAAGGACGCGUCCUUCGACGCCGUCCCGGUGCUCGCGCACGCGCGGGACCUCCGCCCGCUCGCCGCCCUCGCGCGCCUCCUCUCCCCGUCGCCGACCCCCGUCUCCGCGGUCUCCAAGCUCCGCCGCUCGCUCGAGACCUCCGACCGCCGCGUCGCCUCCUUCCUGCGCCGCUUCCCCGCGGCCUUCGUCGAGUCCGUCGGGCCCGAGCACAACCACCCAUGGUUCCGCCUCUCCCCCUCCGCCGCGCGCCUCCAGCAGGAGGAGCGGGACGUCUUCGCCGCCCACCGCGCCGACAUCACCUCCCGCCUUCGCCGCCUCAUCCUCAUGUCCCCGGCCCGCCGCCUCCCGCUCACCGUCGCGCAGGGCAUGCUCUGGCACCUCGGCAUCCCGGAGGACUACUUCAAGCGCCCGGAUUUCGACAUUGGGCAGGAUGGGUUCAGGAUUCUGACCACUGGAGAUGCUGUUUUUUCCGAGGAUGAGAACCAUGGUAAGGAGCAGGGGCUCAUCGAUGAUGGGAAAGAUCAAGAAAUGCCACUGUCGGUGCUUCAAAUGGGUGCCAUACGGAGGUUCGGAUCGGCGGAGGAGGUGCCCUUCCCGCUGUUCCCGUCCAAGGGUCUUCGGCUGAAGCGGAAGAUUGGAGACUGGAUGGAGGGAUUCCAGAAGCUGCCUUGUAUCUCUCCCUAUGAGGACUUCAGCAACAUUCAUCGGGGUAGCGAUGUUUCAGAGAAGCGGGCGGUUGGGGUGCUCCAUGAGCUGUUCAGUCUGUUUGUGACAUGCUCUGCCGAGAGGCGACGGUUACUCUGCCUCAGGACACACCUGGGGCUGUCACAGAAGUUUCACCUGGUGUUUGAGCGGCACCCGCAUAUAUUCUACUUACUGUUGAAGGAGAAAACGUGCUUUGUUGUCCUCAAAGAGGCAUACAUGGCUGGGGGACACACAUCAAUUGAGGAGCACCCCAUGCUGGAGGUGCGGAGCAAGUAUGCCAGGUUGAUGCAGGAGUCACAGGAGAUCAUAAGGCGGCGGCGAAGCGGGAAGCCUGCACAGUUGGAUCGUGAGGAUCAAGAGAGUGAGGGUUCGAAGGGUGUAAAUUCAGCUGCAAUCCCUUCAUAG
rnacentral:rRNA from 1 species